rnacentral:lncRNA from 1 species
CCUGCUUCUGCUUCCCAAGUGCUAGGCUACAGGUGUGCACUGACAUGCCUGGUUGUUCUUUGCAAUUACUCAGCAAUCCAUGAAGACAUGAGUUAAUCUUGGGACUAGGAAAAUUAUCUUCUAAAUUUGUAUCUAAGCUUUGCCAGCUUCAUUAUUCCUUCAUGGUUAUCUUUCAGUUAAUACCGCCUGUAGGACUUUUAUUUCCAUUUUUCAUGAUUUACUACUGCCAUCCUUGAAUUUUCUUCCUCAAUAGGUUGCAGAUUUAGCCAGUGAGAGUAAGGUAGCGCCUGUGGCUUGGUGCCUGCCUUUUUCAUAUUUUGUGAGUGUUUAUGUAGCUGCUGGGAGGUAAAAAGCAUUCUGUUUUUUAUCUUUUGUCUUUUUUGUCUCACUUCUGGGAACAUCUUUUCCUCACUGUAUCCUCAUUCUUUUAGUGGCAAAUGUCACUGGAUGUCAGUAUCUUGAGUGCUAGGUGUAAUUGUUGCUAUUGGUAACUUCCUUUAUAGGUCCUUGCAAGGGCUAGUCCCAGGAACAGAUGCACAUACAUGCACAUUACAUGAACCCAUGUAAUCAUGGGAUCACUUUUCUCUGUUUGCUGGUAGUUACUUUAAUGAAGUGUCCCACCAGCAUCUUUACCUAGUGUCGGUUAAACUUUAACUUAUUGCCAACCUGAUGGGUGAGAAAUCGUUUGGCAUUGCCUAUACCCUGGCGUAAAUAAACCUGAACAUCUUUAUUCUUUGUCUAAGUGAUCAUAUUUAUUUUAUGAUUUUCAGUUUUGUGAGUUGUUUGUAUCUUGCUUGCUAGUAUUAUCACUACCACUAUAUUGUCAAGUCAGAGUCUCAUCCUUUAGCCCAGGUUAGCUUGGAACUCAAAUUCAUAGUGAACCUCCCAAGUACUGAAGCCUUCCAAGUGCUGGGCUUACAGAUGUGAGCUACCCUGCAUCCACUCUUGUGUCUCCUUUUAACCAAAACGUUUGAGUUUCCACCUUCUGAUUUUAGCUUCUUUUUCCAAAUGAUACCUUCUGUUCUAACAAGAUUGACUGUGGAAACACCUUUGCCAUUUUUGUCUGGUGGUGGUUUCUUCUUCUUCUUCUUCUUCUUCUUCUUCUUCUUCUUCUUCUUCUUCUUCUUCUUCUUCUUCUUCUUCUUCUUAUUCUUCUUAUUCUUCUUAUUCUUCUUAUUCUUCUUAUUCUUAUUCUUAUUAAUUUAAGGUGGGGACAGGAGCCAGCUUUGUUUGCCCAGGCUGAUUUAGAAAUCCUAAGAUCAAGGUGUCCUUCUGCCUUUGCAUCCCAGUAGCUGGGAUGACAAAUAUGCACUACUAUUCCUGGUUAAUGUUUAUUACAUUUUAACAUGAGAUCUGACUAGGUGUGAGGGAGACCAGUGACAAAGGCAGCUGGGAAAUUAGAGGAAACUGUGUUCCCUGUUUGAUGAUGUCAGAAAUCAGAUGAAAGCUGAAAGCCCUUUAUCUCAAUUAAGCAUACUUGACCUUUUCCAAAUCUGCCUCUUUGAUCUCCCCUCCCACUCCUCAAAUUGUUUAGCACAGUUAACAGAGGGGAGUGUGGCACAAAGGCUGGUUGAGGGAUUGCCCAUGCCUUCCCUCUUAUCUGCCUUUCUGUGUGCAGUAUUGAAACUUGUCUGCAUGCGUCUUUGACAGCAACGAGACUCCUGUUACUCCUGCCAUGUACUGAGUUCUCUUUGGACCCUUUCUGCAUAUUACCUGUUUCAGUGAGGCCUUUGUCCGUAGGACACGUAUAGCUACACUGGGUGGGAAGCUGACCUGAGGAAUUUGGGGGCUUGAUGAUCUAUCUGUGUGAGAUAGAUAGUUAGGGGGAGUGGUGGACUGGUCUGCCUUUGCUUGUCUGUAAUUCCAUGUCUUUCUUUCAGAAUACUAGCAAUGAGAAAUUCCAAAUUCCAAAGUUUCUUGAUCUCGAAGAAUCAAGAUAUUUUACAUUUUUAUGGAAAGCAUAAACUUUACUGUCCUUUAAAGAUAAAUCGUCCCACCCAAUAACUUGAUGUUCUUUAAGCAUGGUGUUAAGCAUUUUGGGGGUAUUGGUCAGUAUUCUAUGAAAAGGGAAGUCAGUUUGUGAACAGGUAUAUUUGGAAAAAUGCUAACUUGUGCACCUUCUUUCUUUGCUGUAGGGCUUCUCAGAAUUAGUCUCUCUGUUGCCCUCCCAUCCCCACCAUGUGUGUGGUGGUGGUGGUGAUGGUGGUGAUGGUGGAGGUGGUGGUGGUUGUGGUGCUGGUGAUGGAGUUGGUGAUGGAGAUGCUGGUGGUGAUGGUGCUGAUGGUGCUGAUGGUGCUGGUGGUGGAGGUGAUGAUGGUGAUGGUGGUGGAGGUGAUGAUGGUGCUGGUGGUGGAGGUGAUGAUGGUGAUGAUGGUGAUGGUGGAGGUGAUGAUGGUGGUGGUGGAGGUGAUGAUGGUGAUGGUGGUGGAGGUGAUGAUGGUGAUGGUGAUGGUGGUGGAGGUGAUGAUGGUGAUGGUGAUGGUGGUGGAGGUGAUGAUGGUGAUGGUGGAGGUGAUGAUGGUGAUGGUGGAGGUGAUGAUGGCGAUGGUUGUGGAGGUAGAGACCACACCUGGCAAAUGCUAGGUAAGUAGUACAGCACUGAGCUCCAUCUUUGUCUGUUGGUUUUGGGAGACAGGGCUUUCCCAUUUGGUCGGGCUGGCCUUGAUCUCACUUUGUUGCCCAGGAAAGCAUAGAACUUACAAUCUAGUGUCUUUUCUUCCUGAGUGUUGGGAUUACAAAUGGGUAUCGAUGUGUUUACUUGAAUUUCUCAAAUUUGUUUGUGAGGAACAAAAAUCUGUUCUUGCUCCUGCACUAAGGAUAUUCACCCUUUGGUUUGUAAAGGCAAACUUAUCAAGGUGAUGGCACUGUAGAUAGUGCUGGGACUCCUUAUGUCCCUCUAAUUUAUUAUCUUCUCUUAAAUUCUUCCCCAGUUAAGCUCUCUGCAGGCAGGUUAUCUGUUUUAUGCAUUAGUGGGUACCCGUACACCCCAGUGCCUGGUUCAUAACAGUGGUGAGUGUUCCUGAGUGUGAAACUGCCAGCCUUGAUUUAGUUUGUUGAAAUAUUUGUGCUUUGAUUCUGCCUCCUAAAUGUAGAUGUUUUAAACAACAGACUCUUAGCUUUAGUAUAAAAAAAAUCAAUAAACAUAUUUACUCAGAAUUGUAUAUAUUACUUCCUGGUCUCCCUAAAGUUGUAAGGCUUAAUUGUGAAUCAUUAAAUGUGCUUUAACUAUCAUUCUUCACCACCCAGACCAGGCACACACAAAUAGACAUAUUUGACUUUCAUUCAUUUUGCC